rnacentral:lncRNA from 1 species
UUGUCUGAAUUUCUGAACAUCUAAACCACAGUGGUCAUAACAACAGUUUGUUAACUCUAAAAGUUGAACAUUGAAUGUGACUGAAUUUCCCCACAAAAGAAAAAGAACAUGACUGAAUUGAACUGAAUUUUUUAACACUGAAAUUAGCAAUCACCACCAGGUUGUGUCCAGAAGUAGAAAGAGGGGGUGGUGCCUCGUCCACCUGCAGCAGCAACAACAAAAGCUCCACCACCUCUUCCAGAUCGGAGCAACUGCGCACAAAAAAACCAAGGAAUCACAAGGAGGGGAGAUGAAGAAACCGACAAGACAAGGGGUUUAGGUAUCAUGCGCGCGCACCAUAGUUGGAGAUCUGUGGAUGAGCUCGCCGGAG